CAAAAAUCUGCUUCACUGGCGAAUCUUUAUUUAUAGUAUCUUUAAUAUUGAAGCAGUAGCGAAUAUUGCAUUAUUAUAGAUUACCUUUUAACUUACUACAAAAGUCUUCACUUCUGUGUUAUAGAUACCACUGAAGCCAGAAUAUGAUUUUGGUACAGGAGUACUAGUGAUAACAAUUUGUCUGAAGAAGUUUAACAAGUAAAAGAGAAUGGCAGCACCAGAUUAUGAUGUAAUCAAAGAUAUACCAGGAUACAAGGUUAUUCUGAAGGCAGUGAUCAAGAGUCAGAUUCAACAGUUGGUUGAGCAACUAGCCUCCACUACUGAUGAGGAGUCAGUGAUUCUCACAGCAAGUGUUGCUGACGGUACACUCAGUCACCUUGGCUCUGUGUCCGGUAAAGGUUUCCUUGAAGAUCAUGAAGAUAUCAAAUCACAGUUUCUUGGUUUCUGUCUUAAGAGUCACCAAAAAAGAAAAGAAGCAGAGAAAGAACGAAGAGCAGCUGAAUUAUUCCAGCAGUGUACGCAGACCAGUCCAGGCAAGUAUGGAGGCCCGCCUGGCCCUUACACAGCCGUAUCAGCCAGAUUUCCUUCACACAGAGGUCGGGGUUCCGUUCAUCCAGUAGGGAUUCAUAAAGCAUCACCUGGCAGUCUGAUCAGGUCUCCUGGUGUAAGACACGAGCCUUACACAGUUUCUCACUCACCAAGGAGAGCCCCUUUAAACUUUGACUCUGGUAGAAAUCUUGCUUCAGGACCAGGUUCAAGCCCUGUUAGGGUAGAUAAUAAACUUGAUGGACAGGUGAUAAAAAUAGAACCAGGAAGUGAUACUGAAGCCUCAAAUCAAAGUGAAAAUGGUGCUAUAAAUCACAGUAAACUUGAAAGUUUGAACCAGUCACAAUCAGGAGAGAUAAGCGUUCAGUCUGAUAGUAGAUCUCAGUCAGGUGAAAAGGAUGAUGAUGCCCAAUUAGAAUCCGCCAAUACUACCAUUCCAAAUGAAUCUCUAGCAGAAGGACUUAGUUUAGAUUCAGACUUGUCAAAUGUAAUAUCAGGACCUAGUUACAUGCAGGGUGGUGAAAGUGGUGAAAUGGACCCAAAUGUUUCGGUUAAAAUAGAGGCAUUAACUGAAAGUGAGAUGGAGCUUGAAAUUACGGGCGUAGAGCCUGGUAGACCUGUUGUACCCCAGGAUAACUGGGACCCUAAUGUUUCUAUGGGGAUGAAUUUUGACCCCUCUCAAGGUGCUGUUGGGAAUCAGGAUGUUGUCACAGCUCAAGGAUACAUUAUGGAACAGCCAGGAUCCUUUGUAGAAAAUAGUGCAUUCACCACUGAAAGUUUUGUGCAGCCAUACAUUAUCAUACAUACUGAUGGUGUUCCUCUAUACACAUGUCAGGUUGAUACUUGUGGAAAAAUAUUUCCAACAAAGGCACGGUUUGAGAGGCAUUUGAAAACUCAUACACGUGAAAAGCCAUAUAAAUGUAGAUUCUGUGAAUUUCGAAAUGCAAGGAAAGAUUACCUGAGACUACAUGAGAUAAAGAAACAUUGCCAGGAAUACAAGGCUUGUCUUCAUAAGUGAACAGGGUAUUGACAUGUUGAGAUGUGUGAACAGGGUAUUGACAUGUUUAGAUAACAGAGUGAACAUGGUAUUCACAUGUUGAGAUAACAGAGUGAACAGGGUAUUGACAUGUAGAGAUAACAGAGGGAACAGGGUGUUGACAUGUUGAGAUAACAGAGUGAACAGGGUGUUGACAUGUUGAGAUAACAGAGUGAAAAGGGUGUUGCCAUGUUGAGAUAACAGAGUGAACAGGGUGUUGACAUGUUGAGAUAACAGAGUGAACAUUGUAUUCACAUGUUGAGAUAACAGAAUGAACAGGGUAUUGACAUGUUGAAAUAACAGAGUGAACAGGGUAUUGACAUGUUGAGAUAACAGAGUGAACAGGGUAUUGACAUGUUGAGGUAACAGAGAGGCAAGAUAUAAGUUUACUUGUCAUGUUGUAAAGGAUCUGAUCUUGAAAUAAAUAAAGUGGUGUUUCUCCUGUAAUUUUAACUGUUUUAGAUGGCUAUAUUGGGUUUCACAGUAACUUUUCUGUUUUGAGUGUGUCUGUCAAAAUCUGAGUGGUCAAAAUUGCAAUGUUCUUAAUUUUGACACAGUAGACACAAAAUGUCAUAUUGAGUCAAUGUUACUUUGUCUGUAUAUUGAAGAUACAACAUGUUUGAGCUACCCUAAUUACUGUGGUGUCCAUGUCUGUGUUAAGAUUUAAUGUUAUUUGGUACACUCUUUUAUUAUACCUUUAGAGACAAAGGAUAUGGGGGCCAUAUUAGUCAUGCAUCUGUCUAUCUGUCCAUCCAUCAUGGCAGCUUCAUAUCAUUUUUGACAGCUGGGAAGAUUUUCAUAAAACUAGCAUUAAAUAUUAACCUGGUGUUGAGAUGACAUGCAGAGUGGACAAACCAGGUGGCUAUGUCCAGGAAACAUGCAGAGUGGACAAACCAGGUGGCUAAGUCCAGGAAACAUGCAGAGUGGACAAACCAGGUGGCUAAGUCCAGGAAACAUGCAGAGUGGACAAACCAGGUGGCUAAGUCCAGGAAACCCUCUUAUUUCAAUAUGAAAUGUUUCCAUACAGCAGGUAUACACGCCAAAAUAUACUGACUAAAGGUUAGGGUUAGGUUUAACCUAUCUUCAAAAAUUAAUUUUGUUAUACAGACUCUAUGGCAGCAUAUGGAAAAGAGUAAGUACAAGGUCAAGGCCAUUUUUGAAGGCCAAUAAUCAAAUAUUUUAAAUUCAUGUCCACUAGCAAUAGGAAAUGCAUCCAAACUGUAACAGAAUCACCCACAUCAUAUGACACAAGAUUGAUAACUCUUGCAGAAAUCCACCACCCUCAAAUAUCUUUUCAUUUUAUUUUGGCUACACCCAUUUCCUGCUUCCAACAAUCUGUUUAAAGCUAACUGGUUUUUUGGAAAAAAAAAAGAGUUAUUGUCAUCACUUGAUUGACGUCGACGUUGACAUUGUUUGGUUAAAUUUUAUGUUUAAUUCAGCUUUUCUCCUAAACUAU
rnacentral:misc_RNA from 1 species